CACGUAGGGCGCAAGCGUUGUCCGGAAUUAUUGGGCGUAAAGAGCUCGUAGGCGGUCUGUUGCGUCCGCUGUGAAAACUGGGGGCUCAACCCCCAGCCUGCAGUGGGUACGGGCAGACUAGAGUGGCGGUAGGGGAGAUUGGAAUUCCUGGUGUAGCGGUGGAAUGCGCAGAUAUCAGGAGGAACACCGAUGGCGAAGGCAGAUCUCUGGGCCGUAACUGGACGCUGAGGAGCGAAAGCAUGGGGAGCGAACAGG
rnacentral:rRNA from 1 species